rnacentral:misc_RNA from 1 species
GGGAAUUGGAAAGAGUCGUGGACUUGUUCAAGACCUUGGAAUCUUUCCAAGGUUUCAAAGAAUCUGAGGAUAGUUUGUGCUGGAAAUCUGGAAAUGAUGGAGUCUACACUGUCAAAUCUGCAUACAACUACCAGAUUAGACAAAAUGCACAAUUUGACAAGUGGCCAUGGAAGUUCAUCAGGAAGACUAAGGCCCCUUGCAAAGUCU